AUAUAUAUAUAUAUAUAUAUUAUACUUUGGACAUCUUAGCAAAGGAGGGUUGUAUUUUAUUGUUCAUAUUAGCCUACAGGGCUUAAGGCUAGUCUAUAUGCACACACAGUUACUUGUAACAAAUUGCUUCACUAGUGAAUACAAUUAUGUUUUGUGAUAUAAUAGAGAAAAUAUGUAAUAUUUAAUUUAUGGAAUUGGAAUCUAUAUUGAAAAUACAAUAAAAACCAACAACCAGGACCACCCAACUAUACUAUGAAAUGAUUGUUAUUAAUGCAAGAAUCAAACUUUGUUUUAACUGGCAUACCUCUUGAGUCCACAACUUUGGUAA
rnacentral:misc_RNA from 1 species